UACGUAGGGUGCGAGCGUUAAUCGGAAUUACUGGGCGUAAAGCGUGCGUAGGCGGUUCGUUAAGUUCGUUGUGAAAGCCCCGGGCUCAACCUGGGAAUGGCAAUGGAAACUGGCGGGCUGGAGUAUGGCAGAGGGGGGUGGAAUUCCGCGUGUAGCAGUGAAAUGCGUAGAGAUGCGGAGGAACACCGAUGGCGAAGGCAGCCCCCUGGGCCAAUACUGACGCUCAGGCACGAAGGCGUGGGGAGCAAACAGG
rnacentral:rRNA from 1 species